UGGAGGAAUUGUUAGUGUUGUCAACGUGGAUUGAAAGUUUCAAGCUAAUAGAGUUGAUGUUGUGAUUACAGUGUCGAGAGCGUCAAGAUGGUUUCAUAACAAGGAACAUAGACGAACAGGAAGUUGAUAAAAGAAGGAGAGCAGGACGUGUACAUUUACUUCGAGUUCAUUUACUCUGACACUACCACAUUAGAGUAGGAGACAGUUUUCGUAGAUUGUGUUAUUUAUUCUCGUCUGAAUAUAAUAGAAUAAAUCUUCAAACGUUGCUAUCUCUAA